AUUGAACGCUGGCGGCAGGCUUAACACAUGCAAGUCGAGCGGGGUGAUGGUGCUUGCACUAUCACUUAGCGGCGGACGGGUGAGUAAUGCUUAGGAUUCUGCCUAUUAGUGGGGGACAACAUCUCGAAAGGGAUGCUAAUACCGCAUACGUCCUACGGGAGAAAGCAGGGGAUCACUUGUGACCUUGCGCUAAUAGAUGAGCCUAAGUCGGAUUAGCUAGUUGGUGGGGUAAAGGCCUACCAAGGCGACGAUCUGUAGCGGGUCUGAGAGGAUGAUCCGCCACACUGGGACUGAGACACGGCCCAGACUCCGACGGGAGGCAGCAGUGGGGAAUAUUGGACAAUGGGGGGAACCCUGAUCCAGCCAUGCCGCGUGUGUGAAGAAGGCCUUAUGGUUGUAAAGCACUUUAAGCGAGGAGGAGGCUUACCUAGUUAAUACCUGGGAUAAGUGGACGUUACUCGCAGAAUAAGCACCGGCUAACUCUGUGCCAGCCGCCGCCGUAA
rnacentral:rRNA from 1 species